rnacentral:misc_RNA from 1 species
UUUCCGUAGGUGAACCUGCGGAAGGAUCAUUAUUGUAUAACCGAGGUGCGAGGGCUUUCGCUGACCCGACAGGUGGUGUACGCCCGAGGGCCCUCACACACAUCCAUCUCACCCCUCUGUGCACCACCGCGUGGGUCCCCCUUUGGCUUGUACGGAGGGGCGCUGACGUCUUCACACAAACUUUGUAUGCAGUGUAGAAUGUAUUUUUUGUUUUUGAGAUCACGCAAUAAAUACAACUUUCAACAACGGAUCUCUUGGCUCUC